rnacentral:rRNA from 1 species
CGGUGUUUAACUGGCGUGAUGUGGGACGUCCUACCGGUGGGCUUAGCCUCGCGAGGGGCGGCCCAACUAAUAUCCCGUCGCGGUGCUCUUUACUGAGUGUCGAGUCGGGCCGGUACGUUUACUUUGAACAAAUUAGAGUGCUUAAAGCAGGCUAUCCUCGCCUGAAUACUGCGUGCAUGGAAUAAUGGAAUAGGACCUCGGUUCUAUUUUGUUGGUUUUCGGAACCCCGAGGUAAUGAUUAAUAGGGACAGAUGGGGGCAUUCGUAUUGCGACGUUAGAGGUGAAAUUCUUGGAUCGUCGCAAGACGGACAGAAGCGAAAGCAUUUGCCAAAAAUGUUUUCAUUAAUCAAGAACGAAAGUUAGAGGUUCGAAGGCGAUCAGAUACCGCCCUAGUUCUAACCAUAAACGAUGCCAGCUAGCGAUCCGCCGAAGUUCCUCCGAUGACUCGGCGGGCAGCUUCCGGGAAACCAAAGCUUUUGGGUUCCGGGGGAAGUAUGGUUGCAAAGCUGAAACUUAAAGGAAUUGACGGAAGGGCACCACCAGGAGUGGAGCCUGCGGCUUAAUUUGACUCAACGCGGGAAACCUCACCAGGCCCAGACACCGGAAGGAUUGACAGAUUGAUAGCUCUUUCUUGAUUCGGUGGGUGGUGGUGCAUGGGCCGUUCUUAGUUGGUGGAGCGAUUUGUCUGGUUAAUUCCGAUAACGAACGAGACUCUAGCCUGCUAAAUAGGCGUACCUUAUGGUAUCGCGAAGGCCCCCGGCUUCGGCCGGUGGGUUUUUACUACCAACGUACAAACAAAUCUUCUUAGAGGGACAGGCGG